rnacentral:lncRNA from 1 species
CCACAGAACUCUGACUUGGAUAAGACUUGUAUCCAUUUUAUUACGAUGUUCUUCUUUUUUACAAUUUAGUUCCCCAGAGGGCAAGACCAAGGUCAGUUUAAUCUGAAGUCUUUCGUACUUGAUAAAAAUGUCACUGUAAUGAAAACUUGACCGCAAUUAUAAAGAUGACAUCAUUAUGAUGAUGAUUAUGAUAAUAAUGAUGACGAUGAUGAUGACUUUGCCAUUGCUUUGCAGAAAAGGGUAAAGAAAAUUCAUCCUAUAAUCUUAAAACAGUUUCACUGAGAUAAUGUGGUAUUAUUAGUUCAAAGUCAUUGCACCCAUUUUUCUGGAAGACCCCAAAUCAUUGCGAAAGUACAGACAAAAGGAAGAGGUACUAACAGUUUCCCUACAAGUGGCUUCCAGGCAACACAUUCUGGGUUUUGUUGUUGUUGUUGUUUUGUUUGUUUUGAGAUGGAAUCUGGCUCUGUCACCCAGGCUGGAGUGCUGUGGCUGGAUCUCUGCUCACUGCAACCUCCACCUCCCAGGUUCAAGUGAUUCUCCUGCCUCAACCUCCUGAGUAACUAGAAUUAUAGGCCUGCACCAACAUGCCCGGCUAAUUUUGUAUUUUUAGUAGAGAUGGGGUUUCAUCACGCUGGCCAGGCUGUCUCAAACUCCUGACAUCAAGUGAUGUGCCCACCUCAGCCUCCCAAAGUGCUGGAAUUACAGGCGUGAGCCACAAUGCCCAGCAAUUCUUGAACAUAAAAAUAAAUAAUAAAUAAAACUGAAUUCCUCCCAAUCUAUCAUAGAAGCUCUUUGAUAACAUGAGUCAAUCAAAUAAAUAAGAAUAAUAGGAUUUUGACAAAAGAAGACAUUUAUCUAUUCCCAGAGAAACAUAUUGGUCACACAACUUAUAAAUUGCCAGUUGAGGUUCUCCAUUCAUCACCAAGAUUUCCAUGUAAUGACAGGGAAAUAAUUACCAUACCUCUCCCAUGUCAUGCAAUCUUUUGAUGUGUCAGGAAGUCAAACAAUACGUAAAUUCAGCCCUCAGUGUGUGGACAACACCUGUGGAGUGGGCAGAUUUUUUUUUCACUAACAGCAGCUAAUUUCUCUCCUGAGUAGGCAUGGAAUCUUUGUAGCAGGUCUACGGCUUCCGGAAAAGCUGCAGAGAGCCUUCCCUGGAAAAUCAAGGAUGUUUAAUCUUGAACCUUUCGACAAUCUAUCACAACCCUUUCUCCACUAAAACGUCCAGAAAAAUGUGCUAAUAUUUGUUUUUUAAAAAAUCAUAGAUUAGAAGCUCCAGAUUCAGCUCCAACUCACCGGUUCUCUUCAGCUUAAAAACAGAAUUUUCUCUUACCUGAAACCUAUAGGCAUCUAUUAGCAUCAAAUUUCACUAUUUGAAUAGGUAGUAGGGUCUUUGCUCCCAAAUGAUACAUAUUUUUACAUGUAUAUAAUUUUAAAUUAAAAUGUAAAUAUAAAAUAUAUAAAUAGUAUACAUAUGCAUAAUUGGUAUAAAAUAUAAAUUUUACAUAUAUAGAGAAAGAGAGAAAAAGAGAGAAAGUGAACCUGUCCAGAAAUGAAAGAGUGAAAAUCAACUCAGAUUGAAAAAGAAACAAGGAGUCCUUCUGCUAAUCCAGUGGAGAGGACAGCUACAUAAGGCCAGCUGUGUAAUUAACAGGAAACCCAAUUUUCCCAAGGUCAUGCAGCAGCUGCUCAAUGCCAUAACAACCCUCUUCCUGAAUCACCUCUGCCUUGUCACUAAUGAUGCUCACAGACAUGCUUUGCUGUAACUCAUCUAUUCCUGGGGAUCCAGAAUUGCUAAAUGUCCUUGCCUCAUGACAUGGCAUAAUCCCUAAUCUUCAUUUGUCCUAAUCCAGAACUGAUCCCCACUGGCUUCUGCUGGAUCCUCCUCCAAGCUCUUCAGUUAGAACCCAGACCUUGUGAAAGACACUUCCUCCUAUCAUGCAGCACUCCUGGCUCUUCCCAAAGGCCACCCCUUGCUGCAUUGACUCAAUACAUGUGAUUUUGUCGGACUCUGGGUUUGUUGAUAGUGAUUUGUGACUAACCCAUUAGCCUGUCACAAGUUGGAGGUUUCACAGAGAGUUGGCUAAGACCUUCGUUGCCAUGAACUGAGACCCUAACUCCAUAAUAAUGUGUAUGUUUGAGACCCCAUGAAUCUCACCUACUCAAGACUUCCCUGUCACCAAUUGUGUGAGUUUUUCACUGGACCAGGGGUCUGAUGACCUUUUUGUCUCUCCUGUGUCAGCUUUAUUAUUUAUCUCUCAGGAUUUGGUCGUUAUAAAUCUGACUUUGUCAGACUAUUUGUUCCCGGUGGUCUAGAAAAAAAAAUGUACACACACACACACACACACACACACACACACACACACAUAUAAUAUACAUUUAAUUAUUUCUUCAGUUCAAAGAUAAUUUUUUGGGAUGAAAGUAAAUUUAAAGCACAGAUUAAGACACAACUUUCUGGUUAUUCAAUUGCUUUAACUAACUUACCAUAAUGGAUAUAUUUGCUAUAAUUUUGCUACAAUAAACUCUUAAUCACAAACAAGAUAGAGAAGUGAAUACACAUAUAUGUAAGAGUGGAUACAAACAGAAAGAAAAAAUAAAGAAUUCAUGUGGUGAGCUUAUGAACCUUUCUUGAAAAAUUCUUUUUUGCAGAAUGUAUCACUUGCUGAGAAUUCUUGAUCACCUUUAUAAAAAUAACGUUUAUUGUUCUUUUAGGAUUAUAUCUUUUGUGAUGAUAUGAAUGAUACAUCUUAGCCUCUUUACUUGCUAGAUGACUUCUCUUUAUUUCACAAUCAGAUAAGAACAGAGAAGACUCAAGCUGAUUAGCACAUUUUUUGUUUUCCUCUCAAACUACAGCUACCUAAGAUCGGAACCCUCUGAUAAUUUGUGCUGCUAUUUUAAGAUCCAGUUCCAUUCUACAACUGGCUGAAGCAUGAAGUCAACUAAAAUAAACUGAAUUGAGUGGAACUGAACUGAACUGAAGUGAAAUAAUGUGAUUUCCAGUAAACCUGACACCUUAAGGACAGAACAUGAGCCUUGCCCAUCUUCCUCCCAGAGGUCCCAGCACAAUCACCGACUCACACAAUACUCUCAGUGCAUGAGUGAUGAAUUUCACUAACAGCGACCCAUCUCUCUACAUAAUCCACUCCGGUUUCACCAGAGCUGAGAGUAUCAUGAAUUACAUCUAUAGAUAGCUGUAAGCUAAUGACCAAAGCACAUAACUGAAUUCAAACAUAUUCUUUAUUGCAGUCAGAUGUGAGAAAACAAAAUUUAGAAGACAAGCCAGAAAGGAAAUGAAGAACAUAAAGAGCCUGAAUUCUCAUCGUCAAUUUUUCCCUGACUGACUCCGUUUUCCUCUCUUCUUUCCAUUUACCUUUCUGUUCCCAUCCCCAUCAUUUUUGUAGUGUUUAUUGAGUGUCUGCUGCAUGCCAGUCAAUGUGCUGAGUACUUUUCAUGUGUUAUACCAUUUGAUCGUCACAGCAGCACACUAUUAUAAUUAUGAAUAUGAUUCCACAUACUAUAUCUAAAAUUUAACUUAAUUUUACAUAGGAGGAAGCUGAGACUUGCCCAAGACUACUCCAUUAGUAAGAUGUGAACCAAGUGAACCAUGUCUGACUCAAACCUAACCCCUGAUUCUCUGAAUCCAUAUCACCGUAGAACUCAACAGUGAAAUAUUGGGGUAGAGGUAAUGCUAUUAGUACACAAACUAUGCACAGAUUUACAAGCAACUAAACAGGAACUCAUGGCCAGGCACAAUGGUUCAUGCCUGUAAUUCCAGCACUUUGGGAGGCCAAGGUGGGCAGAUCACCUGAAAUCAGGAGUUCAAGAUCAGUGUGGCCAACAUGACAAAACCCCAUCUCUACUAAAAAUACAAAAAUUAGCUGGGUGUGGUGGCACAUGCCUGUAAUCCCAGCUACUCAGCAGGCUAAGGCAGGAGAAUUGCUUGAACCUGGGAAGGAGAGGUUGCAGUGAGCCGAGAUCACAUCACUGCACUCCAGCCUGGGUGACAGAGCAAAACUCUAUCUUAAAUGAAUAAAUAAAUAAAAAUGAAAAAAACAAACAAAUGAAAGAAAGUCACGAGCACAACUUCUGACUCCCCCUCCAUCUUUUCCAUUGUUCCCUGUCUCUCUGCUUAAAAACAAUCCGAGUGACUCUCACUUUUUCCUUGUGUCUCCCACCCAUCUACCCUACUCUUGCUCUACACAGUUAAGGAUUGUUUUGAAAUUCUAUGGGGAAAAAUUAUAAAAUUUAUAAUCCCAAAGAGUCCAUCCAAUUGUCUGUAACAAGAUUUAAAGCUUAGUAUUAUCUCAACCCAAAAUUUGACAAAUGACAGUUUCCUUGUUGCUUGUACACACGUCACUCCAACAGCUGAAAAGCCAGGAUAGAUGUUUGCCAGUAACUUCCUUGCAGAGGCCUUAAUAAACUUAAGCAUGAUAUAUACCAAUAACCUAAUAAAUAUAUUGAGGGUUUCUUCUUAGCCAUAUCCUUGAUAUAAAGUGACAUCUGAGUUUUAUGACGUUUAAGGUUUUUGCCUUUUCUUCUGUCUUGGUGGCUAUUAACUGAGCACAUUUCUAUUUGUGAAUCAUAAGCUAAUGUAUUUACAUUUAGGAACAGAAAAUCAUGUCACUUGAUAAGUAUGCAGGUGUCAUAAGCUCCAGAGCACCAGCAAAAGAUGCAGGUGCUGACCACUUUGUUUCAUGUCAAAAUUCACUGUCUGAAGAUGCUCUGUGACCAUGAGGCUCAUCAAACACUCAACAUUCAAAAGAACUCUUACCACAUUCACACAGCAAAUCAGCAAAUCAUUUUUAAUCAUAAAUCAUCUUUGUUUGAAAACAAUUUACUCACUUGAAUUCUAGGUAACAUUCUAGGUUAUGUGUUCAUUUAGAUGUUCUUCUUUUCCAUGGAAAUCAAUUAAAAACAAAUGCACCAUCUUGGGAGAUGAGCUUAAAAGAUUAAUGUCAGACUUUUUGAAAAAACAAUUACUUGGGCAGAAUUAUGAAUGAACAACGUGUGACGUUUUUGUCAUUUUUUUUUUUUGGUUCUUUUAUUCUGCAUAUUUCAGUUUGGCUUUUAAUUUCAUCAAAAUUAUAGAUGCACAUAAUUCUUUUAAGCAUAGUAGGAAGACCAUGGGCUUCCUAAUGUGCUUAAAACAGGGUCCUCACACCUUGUCCAAUAUAUCCGAGAUUUCUCCCCUUUCUAGAGAAAACUACUUUAAAUUCUGAUAGAUUUUUUGUUGCUGUUGCUCAUAGUUACUUCCAUAACUCUAAAUAGCUCAUGCUGUUACUUUUAAUAUUUCUAUUUUGAGGCUAUCUAAUGGGUUCUCUCUAUGGAAAAUCAAGAUUCACUCUCAUUCACUCUCCCUCAACCUGACUGACCCCCAAGUAUCAUCUUCAUUAGUUUAGUUAGAUUACUAUACAGUAUUUACCUUAUUAUAGUUAGGUCAAUGCUGGGUCACAUAUUAAUCUAUAAUAACUUUUCCUUUUUAUGAGCAAUAUUUUGGUUUUACUUGAAGUUAAUCAUCACACUUGUGUUUGCUUAGUUGUGCAAAUGUCUGUCACUAACUUUGCAAACUUUUCCUCCAGUGUCUAAGCUUCACACAUGAGCUAAUUUUAUUGAUUGCAUCUUUAUUUCAUCUCUGGUGACAUCUGACCUGUUCUAGUCUGGACAGGUUUCUUCCCAGUCCCCAGCUGGCUCUUUCUUAACCACCAACUUGGGUUUGGAUUUCCUAUAACUGGAUCCUGUGUCUUUAUUGCUAGUUUAGUUCAUAGUUUUGGUGGAGCAUAUUCUCAAGACCAUCCAUGUGUGGAGAACUAAUUUGACAAAGACUUGAUGUGAACAUGUCUCUAUUUUCUAAUGUAAAUCAUUUUCCCUUGGGAUAUCAAAAGUUUACUGCAUUGACUUCUUCCCUCUAGUAUUGUUUUUGAGGCAUCUAAAGCCAAUCUGAUUCCUGAUCCUUCAGAAGAACCUCCUGCUGCUUUGGGGAGAAGGAGGUUCCUCUACCUGGUAGCUUUUGGGUACUCCUCUUUGCCCCCAUGGCUGAAAUUCACAAUGAAGUGCUUGGUGUGGUUUUAUUUUUAUAGGUUAUGCUGUACACUCAAUAGGUCCUUAUAUAGGAAAAAAACAAAAAAUAAAUAACAAAAAAAACAACAACACUGUUUUCUUCUUGAUACGUCACUUUCAAUGCAUCUGACAAGAGACAGGGGAGGAGUGUUACCACACCAAGCAAUUCUCCACUUCUUGGCAGACACCAACUGGGUGCCCCCCAGUUCAAUUCAACUCUGACACUAACAGAAUCAAUGUAGGCCCCAAAGUUUAAAGGUUCAGUCCCACAAGACUGCCCCACACUUUGCAGGCCAGUUGCAAACAGUAGGUUCCCAGAUUACCCACAACUUCUGUCCUACUUGGCUACAAACCAGAGUUUCCCACACCCAACUCUGUGGGUUUGACAAUUUGCUAGAGUGGCUUAUAGAACUCAGAAAAGCACUUUGCUGUUAUCAGUUUAUUAUAAAAAGAUACAGCUCAGUAACAGCCAGAUGAAGAGAUGCCUAAGUUAAGAUAUGAGGGAAGGGGCACGCAGGCUCCAUGCCCUCCAUGGGUGAGCCACCCUUCCAGGACCCCCACACGUUGAGAAAUCUGGAAGCUCCCCAAACACAGUCUUCUUGGGGUUUUAUGGAGGCUCCAUUUAGCAGGCAGGAUUGAUUAAAUCAUUGGCUGUUUGUGAUGUUCAUCUCCAGCCCUCUCUCCACUGGUGGAAGGUUGAAGGGUGUGGCUGGAUGUUCCAACCCUCUAAUCAUUUGCUUAGUUCCUCUGACAAGCAGCCUCGUCCAGUGCCUGUCCAGGAGUCUCCAGCCACCAGUCAUCUCAUUAGCAUACUAAAAGAUGCUUAUCAUGUCAGAGGUUCCAAGGGUUUUAGGAGCUACAUGCCAUAAAAUCAAAUAUUUAGUGGAAGACUAAUAUGGUUUGGCUAUGUCCCCACCAAAAUUUCAUCUUGAAUUGUAGCUCCCAUAAUUCCCACGUGUCAUGGGAGAGACCAGGUGGGAGGUAAUUUAAUCAUGGGGGCAGGUCUUUCCCAUGCUGUUCUCAUGAUAGCGAAUAAGUCCCAUGAGAUCUGAUGGUUUUAUAAAUGGGAGCUCUUCUGCACAAACUCUCGUCUGCCACCAUGUAAGAUGUCACUUUGCUCUUCCUUCAUCUUCUACCAUGAUUGUGAGGCCUCCCCAGCCAUGUGGAAUUGUGAAUCCAUUAAUCUUCUUUCCUUUAUAAAUUACCCAAUCUCAAGUAUGUCUGUAUUAGCAGCAUGAGAACAGACUAAUACAAAGACCAAAAUAUAUAUUUCUUAUUAUAUCACAGUAGCACAGCCCUCUUAAUGUACAAACUCAUUUUCUACAAUUCUGGCUAAUUUCUUGAAUUUUUUUUCUCUAAUAAUUUCUUUUCUCUCUUCUUUUUCCUGUUAUUCAGAUGGAUGUACCUGCUUCUUGAGCUGAAUUCUCACCAAUCCCUCAUUUCUGGUCAUUCUUAACCUUACUCCCAGAUGUGUUUGGUCUACUGCAGCCUUCGGAUCCCUACUAGAGUUUGCCUUAGGAAUCAGCUUUCUCAGACCUGUGUCUGAGAUAAAAUGUCUGGGAUAAAAUGUCAUUUAUCCUGCUUCCUGGAUUCUGAAAUUUGAUGAUUCUGUUCUCCUCUUUCAUCUCUUCUUUCUUAAACCCUUUUUUUUAAAAAAAAAUCCUGUAACUGUCAUUUACUGGAACUUCAGAGAGAAGCAGAGGUUAAUACCUAUGUUCAAUGGAUACAGGAGAUAAAAAGAAAUUAUUUAGGCAGUUAAUGAGGGUAAGAGAGUUCUUGGCAAGGCUUCCCUUUUAACACAAGCAACCCGCCAAAUCAUUUCUUUUCUAACAAAGAGCAGCCGGUAAAAUCAAGCCACAGACACAGAUAAGCAAGCUAGAAGCUUUCACAGGUAAAUGUGGCAACUGUGCCAAUAGAAACACACUACCUAAGGGCCAGGUAUGUUCAACAUGGAGGUUCCCUCUUCCCUUUUGUGGCUACAUAAGUGGUAAAAAAGCAUGGAGCCAGCCAGGUAGAGGCCUCAUCUGCAUAAUAAAAGAUUAGGGUGAGAUGUCCAGCUUCUUCACGCCCUAUGCAAACAGCACACCUGGUCUGACUAAUCUCUUGAUCCCUAUGUAAAUGAGACACCGCCUCCUCAAGCUCCUCUAUGAAAUCCCUUGCAUUUCAGUAGGAAACCAGAAGACCCACUUGGGAGCCCCAUGCUCUCUCUGCAGGAAAGAGAGCUUUUCUUGUCUCUUUUCUCUCGCCUAUUAAACCUCAGCUCUUCAACUCACUUCUUGUGUGUCUGUGUCCUUGAUUUCCUUAGUGUGAGACAACGAACCUCAGAUAUUUACCACAGACAACGUAGCCACUUCACAAUCUUGCAAAUUUUCACCAAGUCCUUUUCAUUAUUAUGUAAGGAGUUGGAACUGACUGAUGAGGGUUUGAUUGUGAUUGCCUCUAGCUCUCCCUGAUAGCAUUUGGAUGAGCUGGACAGAUGUAGGAUUAACAAAGGUCUGUAGGGUGGAGCAAAUAUGUCUCAUUACCAAGGGUAAAAUUUCAAGUGAAGAGGCUCCCAUACUAGAGCAACCACAACAAAACAAAUAACCAUGGAUUUGGGACUGAACACUAGGAAAGAGUGAAUAUAUGUUUUUGAGGUCAGCUGUGCUGAAGGCAAGAGAAGAACAUUGCCAAGUAACUUCCAAAUGUGACAUUUUUCAACCUUGGUUUAUGACUGAAAAGCCAAGAAAGACUAAGCUAAAAUGGAAUUCAGCUUCCCAGCCUAAAUAGUGGGAGAGGUCCAAAAUACAGCUAAGGAAAAUUUUACUGGGAAAGCUAGUUGUAUCCAUUUACUCUGUUCUACACAUAUCAAUUAGAAAUUUUAAAAAGGUAAGUUUGAUCAAGCUUUUAUUCCGACAUUUGAAAA